GUGUGUUUGGUCGACAUAUGCAGAGCAAAAAGGGGAAGCUCUCAAAAACCCUAAAACUCACAAAUCACCAAGAAUCAAAGAAGGAUUUCAACAAUAAUCAGUGUUGAAGCUAAUUUCGUGAUCAAUCACGUUAAGAGAUCCCAAGGCGACUCGAGCGAGAAGGCGGGUGAUAAAGUCGGGAGCGAUACGCGGCUUAAAGGAAAGAUCUAAGGUAAACUUUAGUAAGCUUACGGAUGAAGAUCAAGCUCGUUAAAGAACCGAACACAAUCAAGAUGCAACCUUCCGCACGUUGUAUCGUUAUCAGUUUUAAACGACGAACUCACCUACAUUAUGUUGUAAUUAUUUUUAAAUUGUAAAAGUUUUAAAUAAACCCGUAUUUUCAUAA